rnacentral:rRNA from 1 species
GACGAACGCUGGCGGCGUGCUUAACACAUGCAAGUCGAACGGAAAGGCCCUGCUUUUGUGGGGUGCUCGAGUGGCGAACGGGUGAGUAACACGUGAGUAACCUGCCCUUGACUUUGGGAUAACUUCAGGAAACUGGGGCUAAUACCGGAUAGGAGCUCCUGCUGCAUGGUGGGGGUUGGAAAGUUUCGGCGGUUGGGGAUGGACUCGCGGCUUAUCAGCUUGUUGGUGGGGUAGUGGCUUACCAAGGCUUUGACGGGUAGCCGGCCUGAGAGGGUGACCGGGGAGAGUGGGAAGGAGAGAAGGAGGAGAGUCGUACGGGAGGAAGCAGUGGGGGAGAGGGAAAAGUGGGCGGAAGCCGGAUGCAGCAACGCCGGGUGCGGGAGGAAGGGCGUCGGGUUGGAAAAAGAAGUCGCAGGUGACGAAGCGGGAGGGAAGGUAAUGGGUAAAGAAGCAAAGGCUAACUACGGG